GGUCAAUGAUGAAUAGUAAAAGGUCUGACUCCCAGAUGCCCUCCCUGCAUCCCAACAGUCCCCAGCCACCUCUCUUCUGUCAGGGCCCGGGAGUGCUGUGAUGGGCAGAAGGGCAGCUGACACUCUGUGAUGUCCCUGUUCUGUGUUCCUUGGUGAGCCCAGGGAGGACUCCAUGGUUGGCAGCCAACAGCCCAGUCACAAAGGGAUUUGCUUCCUGGGAGUGCGGGUAUCUGUGGCUAUGAUCUGACCUUUUCAAGCUGAGACC
ensembl:scaRNA